CGGGGGUGUGGAAGCGCCGCCCCGCCCCGCCCCAUUGCACGGGGAUGUUGACAGCCACUGGUUGUUGGCAGUAAGUCUGUCGGUAACCUCACGUGCAGGCCUUUGUUUUUCCUUUGCACCACAGCAGCUACCCCUGUUUCUUAAGACCCACACCCCCAUCGCUGUCAUAAAAGAAGUUGGUUUUUCAUUCCUACCUUCUGCAAGGCAGGCGUGGCCUCUCUGUCCUUUCUGCCUCCUGCAGCCCUCAGCACCAGGUCAGCCUUGAGCAAAUAGUGGAUUGUCUCCAUACUAAUAAUGUUCCACCUGGACAUAGUGUUUCAAUGGCGAAAGACGGGCGCCCUGGAUUAUAAUGGGGCAGGCUGGUCUCAGUGCCACUCUGAUGCCAAGAACACAAGACUUCAAAAGCUGAAUCUUCGGGCACAGCAAAUGUUAGUUUGCUUAUACUGACAACAGCAACCACGGGAUUAGGAGACCGAGUUGCACCUGUUGCUGCUGUCACAGGAAACAUCCACGGUGAGAGUGACCUCCAGCUCAGAAAAAUUCCUCCCACUCCCUCUCUGUGAAGUGGAAAUUGAGCCUGAGUGGCAGCUGACGAGAAUGAAUUACUGGUUGGAGAAAGCUAAUCCUGCUGCCUUAUUUUGUGGUGCCUCAAGAGACCAAGAACUGGAAGAAAAAAACAGAAUGCUCAUCUGCAUCCUAGUCCUGAUACUUUUAGUUGCGUUCGUUUUAGGAGCACUUCUAAUGUCGCUUUCUAGGAACCAGGAAAACAUUUCAAGGCAUGCAGUCGAAAGAGGCAACUUAAUGGAAGAAAACUUACUGUUAACACAGCAAUUAGCUAAUGUUACCCAAGAAAAUCAAAGGUUGAGACAUCAAAAUUCAGUCUUGAGAGACUCAGAACUUGGACUGCAUCGUGAAAAUUAUGCUUUAAGAGCACAGCUGGAAAAAACAGCACCAGGAAUUAACAAUCAAAAUAAUUUAAAUUAAAAAGUAAGGAAUGGUUAAAGUGGCUUUCAGUAGAUCUGUUCCUAAAAUGAAAAAAAUUGUUAGUCUACUAGAUUCUGAAGAAUCUCCCU